rnacentral:tmRNA from 1 species
ACUGCUGCCAGCUCAUCCGCUAGCGUGACGCUGCGGUUGAUGACCGGUUCAUAAUAACGUUGCAGGACCCGGGGGGCAGUACCUCGGCGCCUCCACCAUGAACGCGUCGUGAUGCGUUUUUGAUGGGGGCGAAAUAGGAUCGACUGGACGGUAAAGGGACCGCGAGAGCGUCGGUAAGGACUCGACCGGCUUGGCGUAGGUUUUCCUAUUCCAAGUACUUGGCCAAAACUCUAAAUGCCAACGAUAACGUUGUCAUGGAUGCCCGCCUCGCGGCGUAAGCAUCUUGCGGUAGGGUAACCGUCGAAACAGAACCCGGAGCUUCGGCUCCGGGACCCACCGUCUCCUAUAUGAGCGCGUAUCGGUGCGACC